CUUGAAAAUAUUCUCCCUUAAAGGUGUAAUUCAAGUCUAAUCAGGGGAGGAUUUUAGAAAAAAAAAUCUGUAAAAUACUCUUCAAUUGUCACAGACAUGAAAAAUAAGAAAAGACUGAACAUCACAUACCUCUAACGAUGACUAAGUAUGAUAUUGUAUCCUGAAAUCUUAGAACAUAAGGAAAAACUGGGGUCAGUAAAUAUAUUGCUUAAUGUCAUAUCAAUGUACAAUGCAACAUACCAAAACUAAUUUAUUCAGUUUUGAAAGAUAUGCCACAGAUGACAAGUUCCUUCUUGGAAACUGACAUUGAAAUGCAGAACCUGCAAAUUCAGCCAUUUAUCAUUCCAAGUCACUAUAAGUCUUCGUGUCUGAAUUGCAGGAUUGUUGCCUCUUACUAAGUUACACAUGUGUCAUCUUUCUCCCAGAAUAAUCAGCCUAUGAUUGCAUAUAAUCAACUUGGAUCAUGUGCAAAAAUGUACAGUUUUAUCUCACCCUCUAAUGACUUACUUUAAACUUAGCCAUCAUUCCAAAUGUUCCUUUGGCUUUGUAACAUCAAGAAACGACCUUUGAAAAGAAUCAUGAAGAUAGAUGAAAAGCUACAGAAAGAUUAGUAAUUUGAAAGAGCUCCAAGUUAUUUGCUUUCCCAAAGGAGAGAAUUGUGCACCUGCUGAGAUGGGAAAAGGGAAGGAUGGAAUUCGAGCUGGAAAAGUUAUUCAAGAUCAAAAUUCAACCACAGCUUUAUAGAGGAAAGAAGCUAACAAGUGAAAAGCUGCAGGAAAGGCUGGUGAGCAGAACACAGAUUAGUCAUACUUCACAA